rnacentral:rRNA from 1 species
AGUCGGUACGAGUUCAGACUCGAGGCGAAAAGCUCAGUAACACGUGGCCAAACUACCCUUAGGAACUCCAUACCCUCGGGAAACUGAGGUUAAUAGAGCAUCUCACACCACCACUGGAAUGAGUCGUGUGUCAAACGCUCCGGCGCCGAAGGAUGUGGCUGCGGCCGAUUAGGUAGACGGUGGGGUAACGGCCCACCGUGCCAAUAAUCGGUAUGGGUCAUGAGAGUGAGAACCCAGAGACGGAAUCUGAGACAAGAUUCCGGGCCCUACGGGGCGCAGCAGGCGCGAAACCUUUACACUGCACGACAGUGCGAUAGGGGGAUCCCAAGUGCACAGGCAUAGCGCCUGUGCUUUUGGGCACCCUAAGGCGGUGCCAGAAUAAUGGGCUGGGCAAGACCGGUGCCAGCCGCCGCCGUAAUACCCCCAGCCCUAGUUUUGCCCGAUCCAACUGGGCCUAAUGCGUCCGGAUUCU